CUUCUCUCUGUGUCCCCAAACUGGGGUUAGACUUCAAGUGGGUUAAGAGAAAUGUGCUCGUUUAUCGCCCAACUACAAGGCCCUCUUUGUUUGCCGAUGCAGGUGCGCAGUGAUCUACGUGAGCAGGAGGGUGAGAUUGUUGACCAGUCAGACAUGGCAUUCCACAUUUUGGGUACGGGCACGUGGCAUCUCGUAAUCCGAUUCCUCAAGAGGACACUUUCUUCCAUUAUUUUAAACGUAGCAUUGACACAAAUUUCACAAAUUCCAGUCAUUUCCUUCCCCUCACUCGUGGCUUUGCGUGGUAUGCACCCCAGAUAGCCAGCUCAGAUACGCAACAUGCGAUACGUGCCAUUCUGUAGAAAAGAGAUCAUCCCUAGAAAAUCUAAGAGGGUGAUGAAAGAAAG